AAAACAGCACUAGCUAGACCACAAUAUGGCGCCUUUUCUCAUGUGUGAAUCGAGACAUACAGUACAGCAAAUCUUAAGUGAUUACAAGUGAAGCAGAAAUAAGAUAUCUUUGAUUAGCGACGCUGUUGGCGUGGAAUUUUAUUCAAAAGUGCAGUUCUAAUGGGUGACCAAGGAAAUCAGAGGGGUAGUCUGGCAGAUGACUUGGCAGCACUGCUCAAUUCUGGGUUCAAUGCAGACAUCACUCUGCAUGCUGGCAACUUCAAGGUGCUGGCCCACAAGACUGUGCUGGUUGCACGAAGCCCAUUUUUUGCUGCUAUAUUAAAAAAUGGAAGACAGCACUGUCACAUCGAACUGCAUGAUGUCGAGGCAGAUGUGCUGCUGCAACUUGUAAUUUUCAUGUACACUGACAGAGUUCCCAAGCUGCAGAGUAUGGCACCAAAGUUACUUUUAGCAGCAGAAAAGCUCAAAUUGCCUGUCCUGGAGCAAAAAUGUAAGGAGCAGUUAAUUCUGGACAUGUCUAAAGGGCAAAUGGCUGCAAAUGCAUUGAUCACUGUGCACAACUCAUUUAAGAACCAAAAGAGGACUGCAGCUGUGAUGAAUUACACCCAAACUGUACAAGAUGCAAAUGUAGAGCACUCUACAGAAAUGUCGCCAAACUCCCUACAAGUGGCCACAGAGGAAUCUAGUGCAAAAAAAAGAAAACUGGAAAGUUUUGUACAAACUUCAGGACAUGGAUCUAGUGUUCAAAUAGCAACACCAAAAAUGCCCUUACAAGGGGCUGAGGGGAUGUGGAUUUUCAAUGAAGCAUCACCAAAAAUCUUCAUACAGACUACUAACAAAGGAUCUCGUGUAAAAGGAAAAUCACCAAAAGUCCCAAUACAAGCUCUUGACAAAGUACCUUAUUUAAAAGUAAAAUCACCAACAGUCCUAUUAAAGGCUGCUGACAAGGGGUCUCAUGUUACUGAUGAGGGAUCUCAUGUUAAUGGAAAAUCAACAAAAGUUCUUUUACAGGCUACUGAUGAGCAACUUUGUUUACAGGGAUUUAUGGCAGUAUUACGUUUACAGCCUGUUGAUAAGGCAUCUUGUUUAAAUGAAAAAUUGUCAAAAGGUUCUCUACGGGCUACUAAUGAUGGAUCUCAUUUAAAUGGGCAGUCGCCAAAUGUUCCUGUACAGGCUACUGAUGAGGGAUCUCAUUUAACUGGAAGAUCACCAACAGUCCCAGUACAGGCAGCUGACAAGGGAUCCCAUUUAGAUACAAAAUCACCAACACAUUCUGUUUGCUCUACCUAUGAGGGACCUAUAGAGGCUAUUGUUGAGGAAUCUUGUUUGAAUGGAGAAAGUCCAAAAAUCACUGUACAGACUGGUGCAGAUAGUGUGUGUUUGAAUGGAGUAUCACCAAAAAUCUCUGAAGUCAUUGUGAUAGAGGAAUCUCCAAAACCCCCUGCUAAACACAGAUUGAGCACAAAGGGAACAACAACAGUCAAAAGCAGAAAUAUCAUCCUUACGUUCCUUGAUAUUGCUGUUUACCACUGUAUUGAGUGAUGCUGCAACUGGCUUAUGAUCACUGAUUCGCUGUUCUACGCUGAAAUGAAGAAUUUGGGUGUGUUUGUCACAAGGAGAUCUAAGAUGUUAACUUCAUGAGGUGGUUCUCUGAUUAACGGCUCUAGGAAUUCAGCUGGAGCAAGCAGUGCACAGAAAACGAGACACACAUUACACAGUGCUGCAGAAUGUGGUUCUUUGGAGGACAUAGAGGCACUUUUAGCCCAAGGAAUAGAUGUGGAUACAAAAGACAA
rnacentral:misc_RNA from 1 species